UACAGAGGGGGCAAGCGUUGUUCGGAAUUACUGGGCGUAAAGGGCGCGUAGGCGGCCUUCUAAGUCGAACGUGAAAUCCCCGGGCUCAACCCGGGAACUGCGUCCGAUACUGGGAGGCUUGAAUCCGGGAGAGGGAUGUGGAAUUCCAGGUGUAGCGGUGAAAUGCGUAGAUAUCUGGAGGAACACCGGUGGCGAAGGCGGCAUCCUGGACCGAGAUUGACGCUGAGGCGCGAAAGCUAGGGGAGCAAACGGG
rnacentral:rRNA from 1 species